AUAAGCCAUGCGAGUCAACAUAGCAAUAUGUGGCAUACGGCUCAGUAACACGUAGUCAACAUGCCCAGGGGACGUGGAUAACCUCGGGAAACUGAGGAUAAACCGCGAUAGGUCAUCACUUCUGGAAUGGGUAAUGACUUAAACCUAUAUGGCCCCUGGAUUGGACUGCGGCCGAUCAGGCUGUUGGUGAGGUAAUGGCCCACCAAACCUGUAACCGGUACGGGCUCUGAGAGGAGGAGCCCGGAGAUGGGCACUGAGACAAGGGCCCAGGCCCUAUGGGGCGCAGCAGGCGCGAAACCUCUGCAAUAGGCGAAAGCUUGACAGGGUUACUCUGAGUGAUUUCCGUUAAGGAGAUCUUUUGGCACCUCUAAAAAUGGUGCAGAAUAAGGGGUGGGCAAGUCUGGUGUCAGCCGCCGCGGUAAUACCAGCACCCCGAGUGGUCGGGACGUUUAUUGGGCCUAAAGCAUCCGUAGCCGGUUCUACAAGUCUUCCGUUAAAUCCACCUGCUUAACAGAUGGGCCGCGGAAGAUACUAUAGAGCUAGGAGGCGGGAGAGGCAAGCGGUACUCGAUGGGUAGGGGUAAAAUCCGUUGAUCCAUUGAAGACCACCAGUGGCGAAGGCGGCUUGCCAGAACGCGCUCGACGGUGAGGGAUGAAAGCUGGGGGAGCAAACCGGAUUAGAUACCCGGGUAGUCCCAGCUGUAAACGAUGCAGACUCGGUGAUGAGUUGGCUUAUUGCUAACUCAGUGCCGCAGGGAAGCCGUUAAGUUUGCCGCCUGGGGAGUACGGUCGCAAGACUGAAACUUAAAGGAAUUGGCGGGGGAGCACCACAAGGGGUGAAGCCUGCGGUUCAAUUGGAGUCAACGCCGGAAAUCUUACCGGGGGCGACAGCAGAGUGAAGGUCAAGCUGAAGACUUUACCAGACAGCUGAGAGGAGGUG
rnacentral:rRNA from 1 species